rnacentral:lncRNA from 1 species
UCGAAACCCUUACUCACGCACAAAUUAACACAACACUAAAGAAUAGAUCAACAAAAACCAAUAAUGUCCAGAAUGAUAGCAACAAGAAGGUAGUUCACAAUGGAAAACCAAGUGAUAGAGAAAUAUUCCAAUAAGAAGAAAAGAAAAUAAAUAAACGUUUAUGAAGAAUUUUAAGGAAUAGGAAUAAAGAAUGACAUAAGAGGAAAAAUAAAGAAAAGAAAAGAAAACAAGAAACGUGGGAAAAGAUUUUUAAGGUGACUAAUUAAUUUUUUUAAGAAAAACCACCCGCUACCCCC